AGCGCCCAGAGCAGAAGCAGGACCAGCAUUGUCUUCACAUGCAGCCCCGGGACCACAGCCCAUGCAUGGCCCCUCAGCAGACAACAUAGUGGUGCUAUUUAAUAUCUAUAGGAAGCUGCUGAGGAAGAUUUGGGACAAGAUGUCACAGACCAAGUCAAUCUUGAAGAUCUUCAGAGGAAAUCCUCCUGGUCCUUCUACAAGCAGCAGAUUGUCACUUGGUGACAAUGUGAAAGUGGACCUUCUCAGUGAUAGCUCCUACCCUCUGGAAUGCCAUCCCUCCGGAACAAAGGAAUCUACCUUCUACCGACUCUGGCCAUUUGAUACCAUCUAGCUCAAUACUGAUGACAUGGACUAGCAUUGGCUCACCAUGAUUCCAAGCAAUAGACUUUUCCAGAGGUUGAAUUUUGGACCUUUGCAUGAAAAGCACAUGCCCUAUCACUCAACUACAGCCCUUACUCUGUUUAAAAAAUAAGCCCCACUGAAUACAUUGGAACUUGCUUCUAAUGGGGAAGCAUGCAGAGGACUGCAACCUCAAGUAAUGUGGCUACACGGAAGACUGCUGGAGGAG